GAUGAAGAACGCAGCGAAAUGCGAUAAGUAAUGUGAAUUGCAGAAUUCAGUGAAUCAUCGAAUCUUUGAACGCACCUUGCACCCUUUGGCUAUUCCGAAGGGUAUGCCUGUUUGAGUAUCAUGAACACCUCAACUCUCAUGGUUUGCCAUGAUGAGCUUGGACUUUGGGGGUCUUGCUGGCCUGUGGUCAGCUCCUCUCAAAUGGAUUAGCUUGCCAGUGUUUGGUGGCAUCACAGGUGUGAUAACUAUCUACGCUUGUGGUUUUCCACCAGGUAACCUUCAGCAAUGGGGGUUCGCUGGGGCUCAUAAAUGUCUCUCCUCAGUGAGGACAGCUCUUUGAACGUUUGGUCUCAAAUCAGGUAGGACUACCCGCUGAACUUAAGCAUAUCAAUAAGCGGAGGA
rnacentral:misc_RNA from 1 species